UAGAAACAGAGGACUCAAAUGCACAAUGCUCUCUCCUCCCCUGAGCGGUGUGCACAUUUUCAGCCAAACAGCGCUCCUUCUCUUCUGAGACCUGUAGUGCUCUCGCCAAGCAAUUUACCUACACAUAUGAGGCAGAGAGUUUCAACGUUAGAAAAAUGCUAAAUUUUCAAAAUUUUCAUCAAAUUUUGGAAUUUUUCACCAAGAAAUGAUGCAAGGAACGCCGAAAAUUUACCAUUAACAUAAAGAAGAAUAUGUCACGAAAAAACAAUCUCUGAAUCAGAAUAAAAAGUAA